GGAAUCAUUGGUUAUAUUACCAAGGCUUUGCCUGGAAUGUUGUGUUUGAAAAAGAUAUGAAUAGACGCAGAUAUGACCAGACAACUUUAAGGAACUAAGGUCCAGGAACCUCAGGAUAUUUUGGGGACCUCAAGAAGAGAAGAAAUCACCCAAAUGUACAGAUCCAAAACUGCCCUUUGCCUGAGCCAUGCAAUCCAAAGAGGGACAACUUGAUAAAAACUCAGAGAAAUCACCACCACAGCUGUGUAUGGACCAUCUUUGUGCUGGUGGCUGUGUGGGCCACUCAGAAAGAUCAGCAGAGACAUUCAAACUCCAAAAUGGUAAAAUCUAUUAGAUUGCUGUUGUCUACCAUCACUCCAUGGGAAGAUGCUUUGAGCUUGACAUCUAGACAUUGUCUCAUCUGGCUGCCUUCAGAACUCAGAAACUGGGAUUAUAAUCUAUUUGAAUCAUUAAUAGUUUUUUUGCUUGUUUCUGUAGGAUUGCCUCUCAUUAAGUAACCUGAUAUAAAUUCUUGCAUCAUGCAGAUCUAACUUGGGGAACUCACGUGCAUCCCCACCACCUGAAAUGAGACACAACCUUUAUGUGAACUGACCUAUUCUCAGGACUAAGAGACUGAUUUGAUGAGAUAUGGAACAAUCUACCAACUCAGGACAGGUUCAUACCUACUUACACUAGAUGGCUCAAGAUGUGGAAAUAUUUCAUAAUAUUACCCAAAUCCUUGAAAGGAUUCCCAGGGUUGGCUCCCAAGAUCACUGACCUAUUUUCACAGCUGGACCCUUUCAAGUU